rnacentral:lncRNA from 1 species
GCACACACUUGUGCCACUUUUCUUGUAUUCUCCACUCUUGAGACAAUGCAAAUACAUGGGCUUAAGUAGCCAGUGUUACACGGCCAACACGCAGCCACUCACCCACUAACCCCACAUGCACACACGCACGUACUAAACCCAUAACUACUUCCGACUCCUACUGAACCGGCUAGCUUCACUUUGAGUAACAACCAAGUCUGCAGAACAUUGGAUAUGCGCGUACAGGACCAAGUCACAACUGAUUGAUCCCGAUUCUUUCUCCUCGUCGAUCUGCCACACGACUCGGCUGCUCCGGCUCCACAGCGAACGCAGCUAGCUAACCAACACAUCCAUGCAAACUGCAUGUACGUGCAUGGUACUGAUGAACUCAUGCUAACUCAACUAAUUAACCGGCCCUAUUGGCUUGCAUGUGUACGUCUCACACUUCUACGAGCACGUUCACUGCCGCAGCCUAAGCUUUCAGUUCAACUACAUGCAUGAACAAACUAAUGCAAUGAAAUAACUAUGAUGAACACCUAGACAACAUGGUUAACUCUAACANNN